UACGUAGGGGGCAAGCGUUGUCCGGAUUUAUUGGGCGUAAAGAGCUCGUAGGUGGUUCGGUAAGUCGGAUGUGAAAUCUCCAGGCUCAACCUGGAGGGGUCAUUCGAUACUGCCGUGACUAGAGGUCGGUAGGGGAGUGUGGAAUUCCUGGUGGAGCGGUGAAAUGCGCAGAUAUCGGAAGGAACGCCGGUGGCGAAAGCGACGUGCUGGACCCUUUCUGACGCUGAGGCGCGAAAGCCAGGGGAGCAAACGGG
rnacentral:rRNA from 1 species